rnacentral:rRNA from 1 species
CUUGACAUGUCUGGAAUCCUGAAGAGAUUUGGGAGUGCCCGAAAGGGAGCCAGAACACAGGUGCUGCAUGGCUGUCGUCAGCUCGUGUCGUGAGAUGUUGGGUUAAGUCCCGCAACGAGCGCAACCCUUGUCAUUAAUUGCCAUCAUUUAGUUGGGCACUUUAAUGAGACUGCCGGUGACAAACCGGAGGAAGGUGGGGAUGACGUCAAGUCCUCAUGGCCCUUAUGGGUAG